GCCGACAUAGCUCAGUGGUAGAGCACUUCCUUGGUAAGGAAGAGGUCGCGAGUUCAACUCUCGCUGUCGGCU
rnacentral:tRNA from 1 species